GAUACACUUACCAGGUAAUCACAGGACUGGACAAGUCCCUGAGCAACCUGAUCUGAUUAGACCUCUUUUGAACAGUGGAUUGGACUAGAGAACCUCCGGAGGUCCCUUCCAACCUGAAUUAUUCUGUGAUUGAUGCUA
rnacentral:lncRNA from 1 species